AAAACGUCUCUUCCUUCUUUUUUUGGUUUUGGACCAGACACGGGAAGAAGAUUACAAUUUUGCGGAUUUGAAAGAAGGUUUCAAAGUAUUACUGAAUCGAAAAUUGAUUUAUCUCAAGGGAGAUAAUCAAUUAUCUACUGUCAUAGGAUUUAUGUAGGAAUUACUCGAAAUUUUCGAAUUGAAGUUUAACUUGUCGAAGAACUCUGACAUCUCCAAGGCCACACUCCAUCCCAGGCCUUCAUUUUCCAUUCGCCUGUUCGUUACUAACUGAUAAUACCCUUAAAAUCUUCCAACUUUGAGAAUAGCGGUUGGCGAAUCUCCAAUUCUUGGACACCUAAAUGACUCACCACUGUUGGUAGCGACAUUAAAGCAGAUGAUCCCUGAAUGAGACACAUUGGCAUCACAGGAGUAACACUACCAAAACUGUCAGCGCUACUGCGUAACCCACUUCAUCUAGCUAAAAAGUACCUACUUUUACUUAAUAUUGAUUAUAUUACUAUAGUGUAUUGUAUUGAAAUUUCAAAACCUUUUCUCAGCUACCUUUGAACAAUUGUAAACCGAUGGUAUGCAUACUAGAGGGUAGAUAAUUUAUCAAUUGAAUUAGACAACGAAGAAAUCAUUGUGACAAAAUCCUUCGUUUUAAUAUAAUUUAUUUUUCCUUGUGAAUAAAUCAAACUUUGUAGAUUGGUCACGGAAGUUAGAACUGAAAUCUUCGUUACAAUUUUUCUUUACCUUCUAUUAUUGUUAAAAAAAAUAACUGUUUUUCUUUAUUUUUGAAUGACGCUCUCUUUUCCAUAACUUUCAUCAAUAAAAGAUUAGCAAAUUAAUUUA
rnacentral:lncRNA from 1 species